rnacentral:misc_RNA from 1 species
CACCGGCUCGUGAUCCUGUCACAGGCCAAAUCGUCCUGUCCUCGCAUUAAUGUCAAGAGGUUGAAUCUUCGACGCGGAUAAUUCUCGUGGGACUCUGAUGACGACGUUUGGUCGCCUCGUGGUGAACAUGAUCCAGUCGCGGAUAGAAAUUCCCAUUGGGAUGGUAGUGAUUUGAAUUCAUCGUGCGUCUAACGCGAGAUGUGCGACACCAAACGAUAAUUCGUGCAUAGAUUGCGUAUCAGAGUUUCAAGAUUCUAUCGUUGAAUCUCUCUUAUAUCGACUAACGUCUUUUAAAACAGUGCUAUGUCACGUGGAGGACAGACUAGUUGGUCCCAAUGUUCGAAACGCAUCGAUUGUCCGCGACGUCGUCGACGGUAACGGCGGCAGGACGGCUGUAAGUGGAGGCAAGAAGUCGUUGUAGGCGACGCCAGCACUUUUGGACCACGCAGACACGACGGCGAAGGC